GACAGAGGGUGCAAACGUUGUUCGGAAUUACUGGGCGUAAAGCGCGUGUAGGCGGCUCGGAAAGUCGGAUGUGAAAGCCCAGGGCUCAACCCUGGAAGUGCACUCGAAACUCCCGAGCUGGAGUCCCGGAGAGGAAGGCGGAAUUCUCGGUGUAGAGGUGAAAUUCGUAGAUAUCGAGAGGAACACCUGUGGCGAAGGCGGCCUCUGGACGGUGACUGACGCUGAGACGCGAAAGCGUGGGGAGCAAACAGG
rnacentral:rRNA from 1 species